rnacentral:rRNA from 1 species
GGCGGGAUUACCCGCUGAGUUUAACAUAUCAAUAAGCGG